rnacentral:lncRNA from 1 species
UUGAUUUCUGGUGGAGGCAGUGACAUGGGGGUGACAGCUAAUGUAGGGUUUAUCUCGGCUGCAAUUGGAACACUUGAACUCACAAUGCUCUUCUCUUCUGGACCUGGCAGGGCAAGCCUAGCACUGCACCAAACAUGGUUGGUAUCAAUUUGAUUAAUACAUUCUUAUUUCAUGAGUUUCAUAAUAAUAUAAUUGUAAUUUUCUUUUACUUAUCCUAAUUGUUCCGCAGAGUGAAACAUAGAGUAAUUUAUACAACUACAAGUCUCCAUGUAACUAUCUACUAUUCUUAGUUCCUUAGACUUCUGAUUAUUAUUUAAUUGAUCCUGAAUCCCGUGUCUCAAGAUAUCUGGAGAUCCUCAUGACUUGCUUCAAUGUAUUUUUUCCUGCACAGUGGCAGCAAUACGUGUAACUAUCAGAGUUUAUUGCUCAAACCUUGCAAAAGCACUUGCGAAGUGUCUGCAUUCUCCUCUCAUUGGACAUGCAUUGCAAUUUGGUUUACUCUUUGUGCAGAAAACCUGCAUACAGAUCAAAAUAUGAGGCUUUAUUUUAUUUUUGAUUAAUCACAUCUAAUUUCAUAUUUCUAACUAAUGAAACAGCAUGCAUACCUUUCCAAAUGUAAUCAUCUGGUAGUGCAGCUCAUAACUGUGAUUCAAUAGUCAUUGGGUUAUCAGUAAAAGCGUAAGUCCAAUAAUUAAAAAAAAAAAAUGCAUGAAAUUUUGGACAUGAAAGUAGUGCUCUGAAAUUAAUAUGAAAUGUUUAUGGAUCUAUGAGCUUACAGCGUUAGUUGGUCAAGUUUGCAUAAUCUUGGCCAUAGAUACUUUUGAAUUGACUCCAGCAUUGGGUACCUAGAGAAGUAUAUGGUUAGCAUUUGCAAGUAUUGGAAAUGUAAUCGUUCAGUUGGCACAAUAUCGUUUCUUACAUUUCUAGGAGGUGUAACUGAAGCGAUUCAGGUAAGGGUUGGAGGGGGACCCAUCCCAGUCUUACUGCUAUCCUUCCAACAUUAGUGUCAACCUAUAUGGAGUGAAUAAGAGAUAAUUUCGUUGAUUGUAACAUGUUCCGAGACUACUAUAACCAAAUUACUAAUUAGCAGUCACAUCUUUGUUACCGGGAAAGCAAGGUGGUGAAGUGUUAAAAGCCGGACGCAUUCCACACUUUUCAAUCCCAAUCCUUGUAUGCUUAAUAGAUAAUCCCUGCGGAAAAUUCAUUUGUGUAACUAGUUAUAAACUUGCUGACAUUGCAGUGCAUUAUUCUUAUAAUUUCUUGUUAUAUAAUUGUGUGGAAUGGCUUACUUUGCUUUAUCAGGAGGAACAUCUCUUAACCAUUCCAGAUCGAUGCUUCCAUGUUCUCUAACCAGUCGGUUUAGGAAUUCCUAAAUUUUUGCAACCAGUCUUAUCAUGAAUGAUAGUCUGAACCUGUCCACUGUUGCUAUUCUGGUAAAAAUUGAAGUGCAUUUAACAAACAUGAAGUCUGACACUGAACCCUAAUAGUAGAGCACCUGGAUCCGUUCCGCUAGCAUGAUGUUCAUCCCUCGCUCCUUGAUUGCCUCAGAAAUUUCUUUUACAUUAGCAUUUUUUAGUGCUUCAUAGUCCAGUGAGUCCGUUGCGUCUUUAUUUCUUUCCUUUUUCCUACCAUUGGCCUGCACCUGCUUUCUCAGGAUGUCCCAGUUAACAUCGUUCUUUUUCUCACUGUCAGCCUUUCCUUUUCUUCUUUUUGAAGAUUUUUUACUUGUCUCUUUUUGCGACUGACUAUAUGAAUAUAGUUGCUCCUGUACAUUUGAAUCAAUUGAUUGAUUUUUCAUGUGUAUUUGCCUACCGUCAACGACGUUGAAAGAUUUUUUACUGAGAUCACCGACAUUUUCGACAUGCUGCAUGCUAGCACUCUUAUUUCUCUGAAGUGAUUCAGCAUGUUUUUCAGGCUCUCUGACUGAUGUGCUUUCUAAUUGGAAGGUUAGGUUCCCCUUUCGUUGAUGACUGUAGUUGGAAGGAUUAUGCCCAGUGCUUGGCCUUGUUUCAGAACUGUUUUUCAGGUCUAUUGAGUGCUGUCUGAACAAUGCAUACGGGUCCACUGGUGGCAUUUCUUGAGAUCUCCU